AAUACGUCCCGGGCCUUGUACACACCGCCCGUCACACCACGAAAGUCGGCAACACCCGAAGCCGGUGGCCUAACCGUAAGGAAGGAGCCGUCGAAGGUGGGGUCGGUGAUUGGGGUG
rnacentral:rRNA from 1 species